GGUGAACGCUGGCGGUAUGCCUAACACAUGCAAGUCGAACGGCAGCACAGUAAGAGCUUGCUCUUACGGGUGGCGAGUGGCGGACGGGUGAGGAAUACAUCGGAAUCUACUUUUUCUUGGGUGAUAACGUAGGGAAACUUACGCUACUACCGCAUACGACCUACGGCUUAAAUCAGGGGAGCUUCGGACCUUUCGCGAUUGAAUGAGCCGAUGUCGGAUUAGCUAGUUGGCGUGGUAAAGGCCCACCAAGGCGACGAUCCGUAGCUGGUCUGAGAGGAUGAUCAGCCACACUGGAACUGAGACACGGUCCAGACUCCUACGGGAGGCAGCAGUGGGGAAUCUUGGACAAUGGGCGCAAGCCUGAUCCAGCAAUACCGCGUGAGUGAAGAAGGCCUUCGGGUUGUAAAGCCCUUUUGUUGGGAAAGAAAAGCAGCAGGUUAAUCCACCGCUGUUCUGACGGUACCCAAAGAAUAAGCACCGGCUAACUUCGUG
rnacentral:rRNA from 1 species